CCACGUGUCGAGGCACGACUUAGAGGCAUAACCGCAUUGUGGUUUUGUCGCAAGAAGGGUCAUCUUCACACAAUCCCAUGUAAUGAACAAGAAUGGGAUAAAGAGUUGGCUUACAAUCGCCACUUCACACAAUACAUAAAUAAAUCAUACAUCAAUCAGAGUACACACAUUGACCGACUACGGUCAAAGUCAAAAGAAAGAAGAUAACCCAACUGCUAGAUCCCUGAUCGUCCCAACUGGGCUCCACUACUGAACAACAUGAUAAGAAACAACACAACGAACAAGAUCUUCAUCGAGCUCCCACUUGAGCUCGGUUGCGUCACCUGCACUGGUAUCCUCGGCACCUACAACUGUUUUGGUAGAAUCUGUGAGUCACGAGGACUCAGCAAUCUCAUACCCGCGAGAUCAAGACUAUUUAAGCUUAUAGGAAAGGAUGGGGUAAUGAGAUGGAGCUGCAGCAAGCACUAAGCAUAUAAGGUGGCUAACAUACGCAAAUGAGAGCGAGAAGAGAAGAAACGGAACGGUCGUCAACUAGUAAUGAUCAAGAAGUGAUCCUGAACUCCUACUUACGUCAGGCAUAACCCCGAAACCGUGUUCACUUCCCGGACUCCGCCGAAAAGAGACCAUCACGGCUACACACGUGGUUGAUGCGUUUUAAUUAGGGUCAAGUGUCAAGUUCUCUACAACCGGAUAUUAACAAAUUCCCAUCUGCCACAUAACCGCGGGCACGGCUUUCGAAAGAUAAUACCCUGCAGGGGUGUCCCAACUUAGCCCAUUAUAAGCUCUCACGGUCAACGAAGGAUAAAUCUUCUCCCAGGAAGACCCGAUCAGACUCAGAAUCCCGGUUUACAAAACAUUUCGACAAUGGUAAAACAAGACCAGCAAGACCACCCGCUGUGCCGACAAAUCCCGAUAGGAGUUGCACAUAUCUCGUUCUCAGGGCACACCGGAUGAGCAAGACGUCGGGUUGGCAUAGAUCCUGGUUGCCUAGGGGGCGCCGGACAUCGCUCGGUUUGGACCAGCACUCGAAGGAGAACUGGCCCGGGGGUUUAAAAUAAAGAUGACCCUUGAGUCUGCAGAACCCAAGGGAAAAAGGCUUAGGUAGGCAAAUGGUAAAACCAAGGUUGGGCCUUGCUGGAGGAGUUUUAUUCAAAGCGAACUCACAAGGGGGUCCCAUAAAUCACCCAACCGCGUAAGGAACGCAAAAUCAAGGAACAUAACACCGGUAUGACGGAAAACUAGGGAGGCAAGAGUGGAACAAAACACCAGGCAUAAGGCCGAGCCUUCCACCCUUUACCAAGUAUAUAGAUGCAUUAAUUAAAUAAGAGAUAUUGUGAUAUCCCAACAUAAUCAUGUUCCAACAUGGAGCAAUCUUCAACUUCACCUGCAACUAACAACGCUAUAAGAGGGGCUGAGCAAAAGCGGUAACAUAGCCAAACAACGGUUUGCUAGGAAAGGAUGGUUAGAGGCUUGACAUGGCAAUAUGGGAGGCAUGAUAUAGCAAGUGGUAGGUAGCGCAGCAUAGCAAUAGAGCGAACAACUAGCAAAGCAAAGAUAGAAGUGAUUUCGAGGGUAUGGUCAUCUUGCCUGAGAUCCCGCUAGGAAGAAGAACGAGUCCAUGAAGAAGACAAACGGAGGAAGUCGAACGAAUCCUCACAACUCCAGAACGAAACUGAAGCUAACGAGAGAAGCAACCCGGAAAGAAACAAACAACAUAGUAAACAACCACCACAUACACAUGGCAUGAUGCACAAACAAGUAUGAUGCAUGUCCGAUUUAAAGAGCAUGGCAUGGCAAAGUGCAACAAACAACACUACAAAUUAAGUGGAGCUCAAUAUGUAACGAGUUGCAUAUUGACGAAACACCACAUCAAUUAUUUAGUUCUCUCUCGGUUAUGUACCCAACAAUAUUAAAUGUUGAUUAACAUGGCAAGAGGUGAAGCAUAAGUAAACUACCUAUUUAAGCAAGUUAAAUGAGGCCGGAAAUAAUAAACAACAAUUCCAGAAAAUCCCCAUAUCCAUAUUUUAGAUUUGGUACUGUUCUGCCAUAAACGCAAUUUUAAUGUUGUUAAACAGCAAAAUAAAGUGCAGCAAGUUAAUCUAUGCAUUUUUCUACCCCAUUUACAUAUGAAGUUUAUUAAAAUCCGAGUUACGGUUAUUUAGUUAUGAAAUAAAUCAUUUUAACAUGGCAAUCGAGCAAAUUUAAACAAACAACAUUUUAAAUAUUUUAAACAAGGAUGAAAGUUGCAUACUGUUAAAGAACAUGAAAAUAUGAACAAAAUGCAUAUAUGACAUGUUUCAUUUGAAUGCAUGGACCUUUAGUUAUCAACAAUGCAAAACCAGUGGCAUUUCUGCAAAUAUGCAUGCACUUGGAAUUAGACAAAUCGGAGUGAACAUAAAAAAACGAUGCGGGCCGAAUGCUGCGCACUGUGGAAGCCCAGCAGCAGAUCUGGCCCGAAGCGGCUGAGUGUCUGUGAGCAAAAAAAAUAAAAGGAAGCAGUGCAGAAAAUAGGGGCUCCUGGGAUUCGAACCCCAGACCUCCUGGAUGCAGGAGCGUGGUGCGAACCACUGCGCUGCCGUGGCUGAAGUUGAUAGGAAAGGGCGCGGCCCCUUAAGAGAUUGCCCAGGGCCGAGCCUCUCUGUAUAGGCAGAGAAGACGAUGGCUGCGAGGACGGAGCCGGCGAGGUUAGCCGUGGUGAUGACGGGGCUUCUAGGUGCAGGGGCGUGUGCGUGUGCGGGGUGAGGCCAGCGGAGGGGCGCGCUAGGCGAGAACCGGAGCACGGAGAUGCUACUGCAUCUACGCGAGCAACAGAGAACUACAGGCGCCAACCAUGAACGGCGGCCUAGUGGUGAUGAUGCAUGAGGAUAUGCAUGUGAUGUUUGCCGUGUUCUGGAGUUGCACGCGCAGGUGAAAGGACGGGGCAGCCGUGUGCAACUGUGUGUGUGCGCGCUAGGCAGGCUAGGAAAAGGGCGCGGGCGCUCGACUUGGGGCACGACAAGCAGCGGCGAUGGCAACAGGGCACGGUGAGCCGGCGGCAAAGCUGCGGAAGAAGGCGCGAGGCCAGUGGGAUGUCUACGGAGCCAACUGGGCUUCGGGAUGCACGGGAUGCAGAGAGCGUGCUGCUGGAUCCUGAGAAAAAUUCAGAAAACACCGGAGCGGCGAGAGCGCGACGCGAAACCUAUCCUAGGCACGUCUACGGCGAUCGAUGUGCGGCAGGAGGAGAGAGAGGGGGAGCAGGUAUACCUAGCUCACCCUAGGACACGGAUGCAUCGACGUAGAUGAGCCAUCGGCGACGCGGACGAGCUCUAAACCCGACGCGGCUCCUGUCCGAGGAAGAAGAAAGCAGAGGAAGAUGCCAGGCGCGGGACUUGGCGACUCCUUAUGUGACGCAGAUGUAGCAGCGGGCGAAGAGGACAUCGACGGACUUGCCGG
rnacentral:lncRNA from 1 species